GUGGGGAAUCUUCCGCAAUGGACGAAAGUCUGACGGAGCAACGCCGCGUGAGUGAUGAAGGUCUUCGGAUUGUAAAGCUCUGUUAAUCGGGACGAAAGAGCCUAGUGUGAAUAAUGCUAGGAAGUGACGGUACCGGAAUAGAAAGCCACGGCUAACUACGUGCCAGCAGCCGCGGUAAUACGUAGGUGGCAAGCGUUGUCCGGAAUUAUUGGGCGUAAAGCGCGCGCAGGCGGAUCUGCCAGUCUGUCUUAAAAGUUCGGGGCUUAACCCCGUGAUGGGAUGGAAACUACAGAUCUAGAGUAUCGGAGAGGAAAGUGGAAUUCCUAGUGUAGCGGUGAAAUGCGUAGAUAUUUGGAAGAACACCAGUGGCGAAGGCGACUUUCUGGACGAUGUCUGACGCUGAGGCGCGAAAGCUAGGGGAGCGAACGGGAUUAGAUACCCGUGUAGUCC
rnacentral:rRNA from 1 species